rnacentral:lncRNA from 1 species
GAGUCACAGGGUCAUUUUAAUAGCCACAGACAAGGAAGUGGAGACAACAAUAUUAAUAGCCGUGUGAAUCGAACACAAGCCUCAUGCUUUUCUAAUAAUUAUAUGAUGGGAGAUUUACGACAUAAUCAGGGUUUUCAACAACUUGGUUCAAAUGGGUUUCCCCUAAGAUCUACCCACCCAUUUGGGCAUUCAGUUGUUCCACUGUUGGAUUCCUAUGAUUUGUUUUCUUAUGAUGACUUAAGCCAUUUAUAUCCUUAUUUUAAUGAUAUGAUGUAUGGUGAUAAUUCCUUUUCUGGUUUUGUGCCAACUUUUGGAUUUCAAAGACCAAUUAAAACCCGUAGUGGACCAGCUAGUGAGCUUCAUAUUCGUCUAGAAGAGUGCUAUGAACAAUGGAGAGCACUGGAAAAGGAGAGAAAAAAGACUGAAUUAGCCCUUGCCAAGAAUUAUCCAGGAAAAAAAGUAUCCAGUACUAAUAAUACUCCAAUUCCAAGACUGACUUCCAACCCAUCUAGAGUUGAUCGGUUAAUUGUGGAUGAACUUCGAGAACAAGCUAGAGUUGUGACUUUACUAGGCAAAAUGGAACGUCUUCGAAGUUCUCCCCUUCAUGCUAAUAUCUCUACUGCUCUUGAUAGACACUUGGAGUCAAUUCACAUUGUACAGUCACGUAGAAAGGAUGAAAUUGUUAAUGCUUCAAAUCGGCAAAGACAAGGAGUACCUAGGUGCCAAGAUGACAGAGAUGUUUUUGCUCUUGCUACAGCAAUUAAGGAGAUGUGUGUAGCUACUCGCAAAGCACGCACCACCCUAUGGUGUGCACUGCAGAUGACCUUGCCAAAAACAGCAAGUACAGCGGGCCAGGCUGACAUGGAAAAGGCUUUUCAAGAUCUAGUAAACUGUGAAGAUAAAGUCCAUGAAAGCAUAAAUAGUAGCAAUCCAAUGAACCAGAGAGGUGAAACAAGUAAACACUAAGGAAAUGCCAGCAGGAGGAAGAGUUUAAAAGCUGAUAAGUAAAUGUAUCAAGAUGUGCUAAAAUUUUUAAUGAACUUGUCAAACUUUCAGUCCAUUAAUUUUCUUUCAGAUUUAAAGUUAAUACUUCAAUGAAGUCUAACUUCUAUUUAAAAAUCUGCUUGGAAUGAAUCAGAUACAGUUUAAAGUGAACUCAAAGGUAAAGUUGAUUAUUCUAGGAGUUCUGAGUAGUCAAAGAUAGCAAGUUUAUUUUGUUAAAUAUCCCCUUACAGCUAAAAAUUGCUUAAGUCCAUUCUUCAGUGCAGGUAAAUGCAAAUGUGAAAUUCUUCUAGGAGAUAGGUUUCAUUUAGUUCUGCCUUAGUAAGUAUAAUUCCAAAUAAUGAGUCUAAGUGACUGUAACCCAAUUAUGGCUACAGUUUAGUAAGCAAGACAAGUUUUGAUUGUGAUUUAAAAGUAUUUUCCUUACAAAACUGGAUAAUACCUAGGAAACAAAGGAA